CUGAGUGGCGCUUUCAGUCUUCAGUUCCUCCCAGCCCAUAAUGUUGUCAACACUGUGUUGAGGCGAGUUGAAGACUUAAAGCGCUGCUCAG
ensembl:miRNA